rnacentral:rRNA from 1 species
GAGUUUGAUCAUGGCUCAGGAUGAACGCUAGCGACAGGCUUAACACAUGCAAGUCGAGGGGCAGCGGGGGAGUAGCAAUACUCCCGCCGGCGACCGGCGCACGGGUGAGUAACACGUAUGAAACCUGCCCGUAGCAGGGGGAUAAGCGGAAGAAAUUCCGUCUAAUACCGCGUAACAACCCUUGGAGGCAUCUCCCCGGGGUUUAAAGGAAGCGAUUCCGGCUACGGAUGGUCAUGCGUCGCAUUAGCUAGUUGGCGGGGUAACGGCCCACCAAGGCGACGAUGCGUAGGGGUUCUGAGAGGAAGGUCCCCCACACUGGUACUGAGACACGGACCAGACUCCUACGGGAGGCAGCAGUGAGGAAUAUUGGUCAAUGGCCGCAGGGCUGAACCAGCCAAGUCGCGUGAGGGAUGACGGUCCUAUGGAUUGUAAACCUCUUUUGUCAGGGAGCAAAGGACGCCACGUGUGGCGUUUUGCGAGUGCCUGAAGAAAAAGCAUCGGCUAACUCCGUGCCAGCAGCCGCGGUAAUACGGAGGAUGCGAGCGUUAUCCGGAUUUAUUGGGUUUAAAGGGUGCGCAGGCGGAAUGUCAAGUCAGCGGUAAAAUUUCGGGGCUCAACCCCGUCGUGCCGUUGAAACUGGCGUUCUUGAGUGAGCGAGAAGUAUGCGGAAUGCGUGGUGUAGCGGUGAAAUGCAUAGAUAUCACGCAGAACUCCGAUUGCGAAGGCAGCAUACCGGCGCUCAACUGACGCUCAUGCACGAAAGCGUGGGUAUCGAACAGGAUUAGAUACCCUGGUAGUCCACGCAGUAAACGAUGAAUACUAACUGUCCGGCUCGAAUGAGCGCUGGGCGGUACAGCGAAAGCGUUAAGCAUUCCACCUGGGGAGUACGCCGGCAACGGUGAAACUCAAAGGAAUUGACGG